rnacentral:rRNA from 1 species
CAGGGGGAAGCCUGAGCAGCACGCCGCGGGUGUGAUGAAGGCCUUCGGGGCGUAAAGUCCUUUCAUUUGGGAAGAACAUGGUGCGGGUUUAUAUACAAUAAGACACCGUGACAUCUCCGUGCCAAGAACCGCCGGAUUACGACGUGCCAGCAGCCGCGGUAAUACGAA